AUGCACAGGGAACACCCAAGUGUGCUUUAUAGCUCCCUUGGCUUUAAACCUGUGCCAGAUUGAAGCCUGUCCUUCCCUCUGCGUUUAAGAAAUUUUAAUUCUUAUAUACGUAUUCAGAAGUACAGUACAUUA